rnacentral:rRNA from 1 species
CCUACGGGAGGCAGCAGUAGGGAAUUUUGCGCAAUGGGCGAAAGCCUGACGCAGCAACACCGCGUGAAUGUUAAGCCCUUCGGGGUGUAAAGUUCUGUUAAUAGGGACGAAUUUUGACUGUACCUAUAAAGGAAGCAGCGGCUAACUCCGUGCCAGCAGCCGCGGUAAUACGGGGGGUGCAAGCGUUGUCCGGAAUCAUUGGGCGUAAAGCGUUUGUAGGCGGCAAGGUAAGUCAGAUGUUAAAGCCCGGGGCUCAACUCGGGAUCGGCAUUUGAUACUAGCUAGCUAGAAUGUGGUAGAGGUAGAGGGAAUGCCUGGUGUAGCGGUGAAAUGCGUAGAUAUCAGGAGGAACAUCGGUGGCGAAAGCGCUUUACUGGACCAUUAUUGACGCUGAGGAACGAAAGCCAGGGGAGCAAAUAGGAUUAGAUAUCCCUGUAGUC